rnacentral:rRNA from 1 species
UACAGAGGGUGCGAGCGUUAAUCGGAAUUACUGGGCGUAAAGCGUGCGCAGGCGGUUUUGUAAGUCUGACGUGAAAUCCCCGGGCUCAACCUGGGAAUUGCGUUGGAGACUGCAAGGCUGGAGUCUGGCAGAGGGGGGUAGAAUUCCACGUGUAGCAGUGAAAUGCGUAGAGAUGUGGAGGAACACCGAUGGCGAAGGCAGCCCCCUGGGUCAAGACUGACGCUCAUGCACGAAAGCGUGGGGAGCAAACAGG